UACGUAGGCAGCAAGCGUUGUUCGGAGUUACUGGGCGUAAAGGGUGCGUAGGCGGCUUUUUAAGUUUGGUGUGAAAUCUCCCGGCUCAACUGGGAGGGUGCGCCGAAUACUGAGAGGCUAGAGUGUGGGAGAGGAAAGUGGAAUUCCUGGUGUAGCGGUGAAAUGCGUAGAUAUCAGGAGGAACACCGGUGGUGUAAACGGCUUUCUGGACCAUAACUGACGCUGAGGCACGAAAGCGUGGGGGAGCGAACAGG
rnacentral:rRNA from 1 species